GCGAUGCUGCUAUAAAAGCAAGCACUUUACACCAAAUGCGAUCAUUUGCUCCAGCUCGCCGAACCGGACGGUCGCCCAGCAUCGCGCAGGAAAAUAGCAGUAAGCAGGGGGCACCGUUAUUAAAAACUAACGUGACUAACAGGCGACACAGGAGCCCGUCGUAUACAUCACCGUGCCAGUCACAACAAGCGUCAACGCCUGGCUCAUAGAUUCCGUUCAUUUUCAUCAUCGUGCCAGGUUCAACAAGCGUCAACGCCUGACUCAUAAAUUCCGUUCAUUUUCAUCAUCGUGCCAGGUUCAACAAGCGUCAACGCCUGGCUCAUAAAUUCCGUUCAUUUUCAUCACCGUGCCAGCCUCAACAAGCGUCAACGCCUGGCUCAUCAAUCCCGUUCGUUUUCAUCACGCUGGUCUGGCUGUCCACAUAAGGGGUGGGGUGUGGAUACAACUUUACGAGGAUAAAGCUCGUCUUUUUUUUGCUAAGGGUUCGUGGGUCCCAAGGCUGACCCUGGAGCGGCUGAGCAUACCUCAGCUAUGGACGAAACCCCAUUACAGAGUCUAC